rnacentral:rRNA from 1 species
AUUGAACGCUGGCGGCAUGCCUUACACAUGCAAGUCGAACGGCAGCACGGGUGCUUGCACCUGGUGGCGAGUGGCGAACGGGUGAGUAAUACAUCGGAACGUACCUUAUCGUGGGGGAUAACGAAGCGAAAGCUGUGCUAAUACUGCAUACGCUCUGCGCGGGAAAGCGGGGGAUCGAAAGACAUCCCGCGAUUAGAGCGGCCGAUGCCUGAGCUAGGUUGUUGGUGGGUAAAAGCCCACACAGGCGACAAUCAGUAGCUGGUCUGAGAGGACGAUCAGCCAAACUGGGACUUAGACACGGCCCAGACUCCUACUGGAUGCAGCAGUGGCGAAUUUUGGUCAAUGGGUGCAACCCUGAUCCAGCAAUGCCGCGUAAGUGGAGAAGGCCUUCGGGUUGUAAAGCUCUUUUGUCAGGGAAGAAACACCGGCUCUAACACAGUCCGGUAAUGACGGUACCUGAAGAAUAAGCACCGGCUAACUACGUGCCAGCCGCCGCCGUAA